rnacentral:rRNA from 1 species
CCUACGGGCGGCUGCAGUGGGGAAUAUUGGACAAUGGGGGCAACCCUGAUCCAGCCAUGCCGCGUGUGUGAAGAAGGCCCUCGGGUUGUAAAGCACUUUCAGUGAGGAAGAACGCCUGGUGGUUAAUACCCAUCAGGAAAGACAUCACUCACAGAAGAAGCACCGGCUAACUCCGUGCCAGCAGCCGCGGUAAUACGGAGGGUGCGAGCGUUAAUCGGAAUUACUGGGCGUAAAGCGCGCGUAGGUGGCUUGAUAAGCCGGUUGUGAAAGCCCCGGGCUCAACCUGGGAACGGCAUCCGGAACUGUCAAGCUAGGGUGCAGGAGAGGAAGGUAGAAUUCCCGGUGUAGCGGUGAAAUGCGUAGAGAUCGGGAGGAAUACCAGUGGCGAAGGCGGCCUUCUGGACUGACACUGACACUGAGGUGCGAAAGCGUGGGUAGCAAACAGGAUUAGAUACCCCAGUAGUC